rnacentral:rRNA from 1 species
CGAGCGGCAGCGCGGGGGCAACCCUGGCGGCGAGCGGCGAACGGGUGAGUAACACAUCGGAACGUACCCUGUCGUGGGGGAUAGCCCGGCGAAAGCCGGAUUAAUACCGCAUACGACCUGAGGGUGAAAGCGGGGGAUCGCAAGACCUCGCGCGAUAGGAGCGGCCGAUGGCGGAUUAGCUAGUUGGUGAGGUAAAGGCUCACCAAGGCGACGAUCCGUAGCUGGUCUGAGAGGACGACCAGCCACACUGGAACUGAGACACGGUCCAGACUCCUACGGGAGGCAGCAGUGGGGAAUUUUGGACAAUGGGGGCAACCCUGAUCCAGCCAUUCCGCGUGAGUGAAGAAGGCCUUCGGGUUGUAAAGCUCUUUCGGCAGGAACGAAACGGUGGAGGCUAAUACCUUUCAUCAAUGACGGUACCUGAAGAAGAAGCACCGGCUAACUACGUGCCAGCAGCCGCGGUAAUACGUAGGGUGCGAGCGUUAAUCGGAAUUACUGGGCGUAAAGCGUGCGCAGGCGGUUCUAUAAGACAGAUGUGAAAUCCCCGGGCUUAACCUGGGAACUGCGUUUGUGACUGUAGGACUGGAGUGUGGCAGAGGGGGGUGGAAUUCCACGUGUAGCAGUGAAAUGCGUAGAGAUGUGGAGGAACACCGAUGGCGAAGGCAGCCCCCUGGGUUAACACUGACGCUCAUGCACGAAAGCGUGGGGAGCAAACAGGAUUAGAUACCCUGGUAGUCCACGCCCUAAACGAUGCGAACUAGGUGUUGGAGAAGGAGACUUCUUUAGUACCGUAGCUAA